ACUGGCGACGACGUGGGCCGGUGGUACAAGGUGGGAGUCGGGCCACCCCGACUGUCCUAGAUCUGGAGGGAUUGAGAUGUUUGGGGGCCUGGUGAUGGACCCCAUAGUAGAUGUAAAUUAUGGUUUAGAAUAUCUAAAUAUUAAAUAAUUUAGUUUGUGAUUUGUAAUUAAUGUUGUAGAGGAAGAGUCGGCGGUGCCAGGAGAUUUUGAUCAGGGGACUCAGCACCCCAGCGUGUAGGUUGUGAUUCGGAUCCAUGUUUGAGUCAAUCUACAAUCUCUGUAAGGAUCCCUACAUCUGAGCACUUCUAUUUAUACAUAUAUUGGAUUUAUAGUUGGAUAUAUUUUAUCAGUAUGUUGCUAUUUGUUUUUGAGCUUGUAUGACACUAUGAGGUGUGCAUUUUGUUUAUUAUGAAAGUAUUGAAAUAAUUAAAUUGGGAAGGAAUAACAUAUUUUUAAGAAAUUAUGAAAAUAUGUGACGUGAUUGAAAUGUGAUUAAACAUGUAAAACUAGACAUGUAAAAUGGAUUGGACUAACCUUGUCAUGAGAUAGCCUCUACGAGCUUAUGCGUAGGAUAGCUGCCACGAGCUUAUGCGUGGGAUAGCCUCUACGAGCUUAUGCGUAGGAUAGCCUCCACGGGCUUACGCGUGGGAUAGNNNNNNNNNNNNNNNNNNNNNNNNNNNNNCUACGGGCUUACGCGUGGGAUAGCUGCCACGAGCUUAUGCGUGGGAUUUGUGCAGUCUUGGACUGGGUCAUGAACUUGGUUAGUCCAA
rnacentral:lncRNA from 1 species